rnacentral:rRNA from 1 species
AUUCACCUACGGGGGGCAGCAGUAGGGAAUUGUCGUCAAUGGGGGAAACCCUGAACGAGCAAUGCCGCGUGAGUGAAGAAGGCCUUCGGGUCGUAAAGCUCUGUUGUAAGAGAAAAACGGUAAUGAUAGGAAAUGAUCAUUAAGUGAUGGUAUCUUACGAGGAAGCCACGGCUAACUACGUGCCAGCAGCCGCGGUAAUACGUAGGUGACAAGCGUUAUCCGGAAUGAUUGGGCGUGAAGGGUGCGUAGGCGGCAAAAUAAGUCUGAAGUAAAAGGCGUUGGCUCAACCAACGUAAGCUUUGGAA